GACGAACGCUGGCGGCGUGCUUAACACAUGCAAGUCGAACGUGAUUUUUGUGGAAAUUCUUUCGGGAAUGGAAAUGAAAUGAAAGUGGCGAACGGGUGAGUAACACGUGAGCAACCUACCUUACACAGGGGGAUAGCCGUUGGAAACGACGAUUAAUACCGCAUGAGACCACAGAAUCGCAUGAUAUAGGGGUCAAAGAUUUAUCGGUGUAAGAAGGGCUCGCGUCUGAUUAGCUAGUUGGAAGGGUAAAGGCCUACCAAGGCGACGAUCAGUAGCCGGUCUGAGAGGAUGAACGGCCACAUUGGAACUGAGACACGGUCCAAACUCCUACGCGAGGCAGCAGUGGGGAAUAUUGCACAAUGGGGGGAACCCUGAUGCAGCGACGCCGCGUGAGCGAAGAAGGUUUUCGAAUCGUAAAGCUCUGUCCUAUGAGAAGAUAAUGACGGUAUCAUAGGAGGAAGCCCCGGCUAAAUACGUG
rnacentral:rRNA from 1 species